GUAGGGAAUAUUGGGCAAUGGAGGCAACUCUGACCCAGCCAUGUCGCGUGCAGGAUGACGGCCCUCUGGGUUGUAAACUGCUUUUAUACGGGAAGAAAAAAUACUACGUGUAGUAUACUGACGGUACCGUAAGAAUAAGGAUCGGCUAACUCCGUGCCAGCAGCCGCGGUAAUACGGAGGAUCCAAGCGUUGUCCGGAUUUAUUGGGUUUAAAGGGUGCGUAGGCGGAUCUUUAAGUCAGUGGUGAAAGCCUGCAGCUUAACUGUAGAAUUGCCAUUGAAACUGAAGAUCUUGAAUGUGGUUAAAGUAGGCGGAAUGUAUCAUGUAGCGGUGAAAUGCUUAGAUAUGAUACAGAACACCGAUAGCGAAGGCAGCUUGCUGAACCAUUAUUGACGCUGAGGCACGAAAGCGUGGGGAGCGAACAGGAUUAGAAACCCCAGUAGUCC
rnacentral:rRNA from 1 species